CCAUGAGUAUUUUAUAUUAAGAGAACUUCAUUCAUUCGUCAGUAACAUGAGUAAUUUCUUUGCUGUAUCUGAGAAAAGUUUUCAAAACCGGGAAGGAUACUCACUUAGUUUUCUUUUGUGCCAUUCACAAUGUAGACGCAACAUGUUUUGAAGUUUAAUGUACAUUCCUUUUUUUCUAUUAGUUCCUUAAGUCUAGACAACAAAACAAUAAAUCAAGCAUGAUUUGUAGCACGUGCCAAUUCCUGUGGUGUAAAUACGCUUGUGGUGGCUGAUCUCAAGCUACGGAUGUGACGUCCUCAAACAUGGACUUGGGAAGAAGACACACUGUAGCCACCAUCUUUAGGGUGUUUCUACCACGUGGAUACAAUAGAUUUAAGAGCACAGAUAAGCGUAAAACAGAAAAACAAGAAGGAAGUGACGAAUUUCAAGUAUUCAUUACCUCUGUUGAAUAUAAUGUAUUGAACUGUAAGCUUAUAUAUAAUUCAGCUUUUAAAAAUGGCCUGAGUUGAACAACCAGCUCACCACAAUUCUACAAUCUAGGAGUUGGUUCUCCUGGGUCGGCACAGGUCAGCUGGAGCGCCUAGUUCUGGUGGAGGGCAGGAGGCCCCCUUCCCCUGGCCUCCCUGGCCAGUCCCCACACGCAGCCCCAGUGGCCUCCACAGCUCCACCCUGCUUUCACAGCCAUUCUUCUUUUUCUUAGAUGCCAAAAGCAGAAACUCCCCAAGAUCGAACCUGAAAUUCCGCUUUGACAAGCUCAGCCACGCCAGCUCUGGUGCGGGUCACUAAUCUGAAAGCGGAGUCCUUCGCCUGUUCAAGGGAAGCCCCUCUUCUGUCCUGGAAAAGGCUCCUGUUCCAGCAGUUUGGGAGUGCCGCCGAUGACCCUGACAGUCCCAGCCCCGCCACCCCCCGGCCACCUGCCCACAGACGUGCUGUCGGUCCAGGUGUCCCAGUCUGGCCACAGCCCUGCCUCCGCCCUCAUCUACAUGCCCUCCCAGCACCUCCCAUCUCUGGGCGAGGCCUUCUUCCUCAGGUUCCUCCCGCUCCUGACCUCCCAGUGUGAUGUCCGGGUCCUUUGUCAUCCUGCUCAGCCUGGAGAAGAAAAGAGAGUUGGGCAAAGGGGGAUCUCGGGGGAGCUCAGCAGUGACUGGGGAGCUGGUCUGCCUCAGAGACAGAGUUGGGGGAGGGAGCAGAGCCUCGGUGAGGGUCUUGGCCAUGGGGCAGUGCCUUCCUGGAUGUGGUAGGCUUUACUACCGGGAAUGCACUUGGUGGUGGAGGCGUCAUGUUCCCAGGGGCCAAGAUUCGUAGCAUCCUUGAGGCCAUUCUGAUAAAAUCCGGCACUAUUGCCCCCCCUAUCUCUGGAGUUCUAAACCGUCUAUCUGCUUCUGUGCUGAGCAUCUUUCCCAUCUGCUGACGUAGACCCAGGGCUGCUCCGGCCCUGCUGCCAGUGUACUGUGAGCGGGGCUCCAGCCAGUUCCAGCUCAGAGACACAGCUGGAUGGGCCCAGACACUUCCUGGACUGUGGCAGGAACUUUGGGUUCCACCCAGUUUCUCCUGAUUGUGGCUGCUGUGGCAGGGGGGGUGUGGGGGGCAGCCCUAAGGCAGUCUCUUCCCUUUGAGGAGGUAUUUUUCCCACAAGGGGGUGGGAAGCCAGCAGUGAGAAGGAAUUCAGGGAGAGCGAAGGAGCCAGUGCUGGGAUGCUGCUGUGUUGGUUGAGGAGAACCUCAGGGCCUGAGGGCCAGGCCGGAGCCCAGGUCUCCGCUGACAGUGGAGGUUCAAGGAAGAUGCAGUUACCUCCCCUCCCCACAUACGCCACGGGAGAGGUGAGGUGGGGGAUGACUUUCGGGUUCUGAUCAGGCCCCUGGGUGGGGAAGGGGCACAGUUGCCCUCAGCAGCUUAUGCCCCUGGAGUCUUGGGGGGCCUAGUCCAGCUACUGUGCCCUUUGGCAGCUGUAUCUGGGACUCGACCCCCUCAAUCCUAUUCCCCUCUCCAGCUGCGGGUCUGUAGGCAGCUGUCACAUCUGAAGGGUUCCCGCAACCCGGGCCCCAUCUGGGUGUGGUUCAGACCCUGUGACCCACCUGCCACUCCCACCCUCAGCAGAGCCCCCUUGCUGGGACAGCCGGCUCACCUCCAAGGACAGCCCCUCCUGGCUUCUCCCCCUUCCGAGUCUGCAGCACUGUGGGCUUCUCUGCUGAUGGGCCUGGGCUGGGGUUAAGGUGGGCACCCUCCAGGUAAAAUGAGCCUGAAGAGCAGCUUUCAGGGCAGACAGGGCUGCGGAGUGACACCGGCUGGGCACCUGCCCCAUGACCGAUGACAAGGAUUUCUAGCCGAAUGCUUUAUUCCUGUAGGGAUCUGGACCUAUGCCCAAGAUAUAAAUACUACAUUUUUUUUUUUACUGACAUUGUGAAAUUUUCCCCAUAGCUUCUGCCAUUCGAGCAACAUGGUGAUCCUUCCUCCCCGCCACGUGUGUGGGAAUGAUUGAAUCCUGUUUGCAGGCUGGACAGGAGCUCUCCCUUCACUACUACUUUUCCCAAAGUACUAGUCUAGUAAAAUUUAUUCUUGUUAGAAGGUCAAUAAAAUAUCCAUCUGUUUAGCUUUUAUGAAAAGUCACCAUAGGAGCCCUUACUGCUGGAACGAGGCCCGUACAUUCUGGCCGUGUUUUGUUGGCUGGGCUUCUGGAGGCACUGGGAAGGUCAAACUGCAUUUCUUUCAGAACAGAUGCAGGGCUCUGGCUUGCCUCUCUGGGAAGCCAGCAUUGCAGUUGCUUGGUGGAUGGGCCAUGUCACAUUGCCAUCUGGGGUCCUCUGGGGUUUCCGGGUUGUCACCACGCUGUCCCAUUUGGGAAUCCCAUACCUGCCUGUCCCCACUGCGCUGGCUGACCCUUGCUGCCUGCUGCCUCCUCAGAGGGCUUUGUCCCUGUCUCUUGAGCUGGUAGGCAGGAUGGCUGGGUGGCCCUCAGAGAAGCACAGACCUGAGAUGGGGUCUCCACCCCUGGUUUGCUAUUGGACUGCUCUGAACAGGAUCCCAAAUGCCUCAUCCCUCCGGCCACGCCCCGCUAUCUCUAGAAGCUCCAUCCUGUGGCUUCCAGAGUGUGCGCUUCCAGCCCACCCAGGGUGCCAGUGCUGGGAGGGAGGAGGAGAACAAGGAUGGCCCAGCCUCCCUCGCUCCUCUAGACCAUGCGGCAGGCAGCUCGUGUUCCUAGAGGGCUGCUCCCCCACACUGCUGUCCCUACAUCUGCUAUGAUCUAAAAUAUCUUUCCCUUUAUGCUGCGCCCAGUCUUGGGGCUCAAAGAUUUGCUCAAGCCUCAUUGGCCCUUGUGACUAGGCUCAUCUAGAUGGUGCUCCUGCUGGUGUUUGAGGCGUUUCCACUGUGAUCUCCACGAGGGGGUGUUUUCCGGGACACAUCUCUGGCUCUGGGAACUGCCUGACUCACUGAAGAAACUACUUUUCAGGCACUGUGGGGCCACCCAUAUACCUCCAGCUCAGUUGAUGCUUAAAAACAGGUGCAGAAAAGCUCGCGAUAGGUCUUAACGAGAGUGUCUGUCUAUGCCAAUUAAUGUAAAAGUGCCGUUUCUUGAAAAAGGUUCAGUGGUUCAGCUUUGUCGGCAUCAUCUCAACACCCAAGCCUGCUGGUUCCUUUUAGCAUCUCAUCCAACCAUGUCAUCAUCCAGAUGAGAAAUCUUAGCCCAGGUGAGGGGAAUAACUUGCUUGAGGUCACACAGCUGGCUGGUGGCAAAGCUGGGAUUAGAACCCUCAACCCAGUGUCCCUUCCUCUGCACCACCUACGUGGUUAGUUGAAAAGUGACUGCGUUCCCUGGGGCCCUGGGUUUUGGGGAAACCAGUUAGCUGCUGCCUUGGCGCUGGCUUGGAGGUGAGCAGUCAAGGAUGCUGGUGAAGCCUCAGGUUCUGCUCUUUUUCAUCAGAAGGGAGAGUCUCUUGGAUUUUUCAGUGAAGACCCUGGGGCUUUGGAUGCAGCUUGAAUCAAGAAAACGAGGAGGGAAAGGGAUUCGGUGAACUGUUCCUCAGUGGGACCGGUUCUUCAGCUCCAGCGUGUCAUGGGGGUGGAGGCCAGGGAAAAAGAUGCUCUUCACCAACCCUUGUGCUGUUUCCAGCAUAAGGAAAAGAGCUUCCUUUUUCCUAAAUUAAGAGGCGAAGUGGUCAAAGAAAAACUCUUCAUUUCUCCCUGAUUCUUAAACGAAGGUGGUUGAUAGAAACCCAGGCUCCCGUGACAAGGCAGGACAAGAGCCUCUUUUACUUUCCUCCCCUGACCCUUGAAGGUGCCAACUCAAACACUACCUUUCUUAUUGCUUUCGAAGUCAGUAGAGACGGAUCUGUUUUGAGCAGUCGGGGGUUCGAGUCGAUCUCAUGGCUACAGGCGGCCAGCAGGGACCAGGCCAGCCAUGCUCAGGACCCUUCGGCUCCUCCCCCAGCCUCUAGCUACCCCUUAUCGAGGCAAGGGGAGGCCAGUAAAGUUUGCCAAGGCUGAUCCUGCAGCCUGCUGGGGCUGGCUGGGGUAUUCUUUCACCAAGCUCUGUUUUACCGCCAGCCCCUUGUCCACCCCGAUCCCACGUCUCCCUCCCUUCAGCUGGACCAUGUGCCCCUUUGGGAGGGGGAAGACAAGCCCCACUAGGGCCAAGGGCAGCAGGGCCCUGCCGAGUGAGAGGCUGUGGCAGCGGCUCUGUCCUGUGCCUUACCAGCCCUGGGGAGGGGGGCAUUUGGCUGGAAGACUGGAAUUUAAUUGCCAUCGUCUUUGAUUUUGUGACAUUUCUGCUUGGCAACGUGAAACCCCCCUUUCUGCCCCUUAGCAUGCGUGCAGCUCUCUCUUGUCUUGGGUGUUACCCUUGGACACUCCAGCUCGGGGACUGCUGGCAUGUGAGUGUGCAGAUUCCCCUGUGUGGUCGAACCUAAGAACUGUGGCUUGGAAGUGAUGCUCCACGUGACGACGACUUUCCUUUCUUUCCUCUUACUGAGGAGGUGAUUCGUAGACCCCAACUGCCUAUGUAAUGUAAAUAAUGUACAUUUAAUUUAUUGCUAUGGUAGCACAUUGUAUUUGUUAAUGUACAAAACAAAUUCUAAAAGGUUGACAAAUGUAUAUUUUGUUGCUUAAAUGUGUCUUUGCAGAGAUUGACAAUAAAUAACAUAUUUUGUGUCCA